CGGCGUGCCUAACACAUGCAAGUCGAACGAGAAAGUGGAGCAAUCCAUGAGUACAGUGGCGACCGGGUGAGUAACACGUGACCAACCUACCCUCGAGUGGGGAAUAACUCCGGGAAACCGGAGCUAAUACCGCAUAACAUCGCAAGAUCAAAGCCGCAAGGCGCUUGAGGAGGGGGUCGCGGCUGAUUAGCUAGUUGGUAGGGUAAUGGCCUACCAAGGCGAAGAUCGGUAGCCGGCCUGAGAGGGCGCACGGCCACACUGGAACUGAAACACGGUCCAGACUCCUACGGGAGGCAGCAGUGGGGAAUUUUGCGCAAUGGGGGAAACCCUGACGCAGCAACGCCGCGUGGAGGAUGAAGUCCCUUGGGACGUAAACUCCUUUCGACCGGGACGAUACUGACGGUACCGGAAGAAGAAGCACCGGCUAACUCUGUGCCAGCAGCCGCGGUAAUACAGAGGGUGCGAGCGUUGUUCGGAAUUAUUGGGCGUAAAG
rnacentral:rRNA from 1 species